rnacentral:rRNA from 1 species
AUGAUGUGGCAGGCAUGGAAUCUGAGGAAUAAUGUAGUACAUGGGGAUGGAAAGGAUACAGUUACAGGAUCAGUGCAGUAUCUUACGAGGUUACAAGAUGAAUUGCUGGUAGCUGCAUGUGGUCUGAGGGAGCAUUCGGACAACGGCAAAGUGUCACUACACCCUGCUAAAUCGGAAGCGACAGUCCCCCCGGCUCCUAGUCAUUGGAUAGCUCCCCCGCUAGGAAUGGCUAAGUUGAAUUCUGAUGCGGCUUUCAUAGGAGAGACGGGAGACACAUGGGGUGGCGCUGUGGCCAGAGAUCACUUGGGGCGUGUUUUCAUGUCCAUUGGAAGGCGCCUGAACCGGUGCAGUUCAGUGGAGGAAGCAGAAGGGGCUGCAGCGCUGCUAGGCUUGACUGAAUUUGCGAAACGUUUCAGAGGUCAGGUAAUCCUAGAGACUGACUGCAUGUGUAUCGGCCGGGAGCUGCAGGGGGGCAUGCAAAGUAGGUCGGCUUACUGUGCCACUCUUGCGGAUGUGAAGGAGAAGCUCUCUUUGUUUUCCUGCUCGGGAAUAAGUAUUGUAAGCAGGAGCAAAAACAAGCUGGCGCACGAGCUCGCGGCCGUCGCGAGAAGAUCAGGUGAUUUUAUUAUGGUCGCCGACGUCCCAGUUGACGCUAAACAUGUAAUGAGAGACGAAAGUGUUCUUACCAUGGCCUAA